rnacentral:rRNA from 1 species
GAAUCGUAUCGGAGGAUGAUUGAAUCCCGGUACAUCGAGACGUUGAACGAAGUUGCGUCCGAAGCCAUUAGGACGAGGGCACGCCUGCCUGGGUGUCACACAUCGUCACCCCAAAUGCAAACGCCUCGAGCGCGCGCACAGGGUGGACGCUGGCCUCCCGCGAGCACCGUCUCGUGGCUGGUUGAAAACCGAGCCCGCGGCCGACCCGCCGCGACAAAAUGGGGAUGACAACGCUCGAACCGUCCGCGGCCGGCGACCCGAUCCCCAACCCCCCAACGGACCCCCACAACCUCGGCCCGCUAUUUAUACAA